rnacentral:rRNA from 1 species
ACGAACGCUGGCGGCAGGCUUAACACAUGCAAGUCGAACGCGUGUAGCAAUACACGAGUGGCGCACGGGUGAGUAACGCGUGGAUAUCUGCCUUUUGGUUCGGAAUAACCCCGGGAAACUGGGGCUAAUACCGGAUGGUUCCUUCGGGAUAAAGAUUUAUCGCCAAAAGAUGAGUCCGCGUCCGAUUAGCUAGUUGGUGAGGUAAUGGCUCACCAAGGCGACGAUCGGUAGCUGGUCUGAGAGGACGAUCAGCCACACUGGGACUGAGACACGGCCCAGACUCCUACGGGAGGCAGCAGUGGGGAAUAUUGGACAAUGGAGGCAACUCUGACGCAGCGAUGCCGCGUGGGUGAAUAAGGCCUUAGGGUUGUAAAGCCCUUUCAGUGGGAAAGAUGAUGACGGUACCCACAGAAGAAGCCCCGGCUAACUCCGU